GAUCAUGGCUCAGGAUGAACGCUAGCGACAGGCUUAACACAUGCAAGUCGAGGGGCAGCGAGGAAGUGGCAACACUUCUGUCGGCGACCGGCGCACGGGUGAGUAACGCGUAUGCAACCUGCCCUUCACAGGGGGGAUAACCGGGAGAAAUUCCGACUAAUACCGCAUACGUCCUCCGGGGGCGAUCCCAGGGGGGAUGAAAGAAUUAUCGGUGAAGGAUGGGCAUGCGUGAUAUUAGGUAGUUGGCGGGG
rnacentral:rRNA from 1 species